UCUGGUCAGCCCCUAUGCUGAACACGCCCAAUCUCGUCUGAUCUCGGAAGCUAAGCAGUGUCGGGCCUGGUUAGUACUUGGAUGGGAGACCGCCUGGGAAUACCACGUGCUGCAAGGG
rnacentral:rRNA from 10 species